GAUAAACGCUGGCGGCGCACAUAAGACAUGCAAGUCGAACGGACUUAACAGUUAGUUUACUAAUGGAGCGGUUAGUGGCGGACUGGUGAGUAACACGCAAGCAACCUGCCUAUCAGAGGGGAACAACAGUUAGAAAUGACUGCUAAUACCGCAUAUGCCUUAGCAACACAUGUUGCAAAAGGGAAAGGAGGAAUCCACUGAUAGAUGGGCUUGCGUCUGAUUAGAUAGUUGGUGGGGUAGCGGCCUACCAAGUCGACGAUCAGUAGCCGGACUGAGAGGUUGAACGGCCACAUUGGGACUGAGAUACGGCCCAGACUCCUACGGGAGGCAGCAGUCGGGAAUAUUGCGCAAUGGAGGAAACUCUGACGCAGUGACGCCGCGUGCAGGAAGAAGGUUUUCGGAUUGUAAACUGCUUUAGACAGGGAAGAAUAAAGACAGUACCUGUAGAAUAAGCUCCGGCUAACUACGUGCCAGCAGCCGCGGUAA
rnacentral:rRNA from 1 species